UGUUCUCAGAGCAGCGCCCGAAGCGGAUCUGCGCAUCCAGGCGCAGGAUCGGGGGCCCGGGAUCGGGGUCAGGCCCGGGCGCCCGCCGCAGAGGGGACCCAUCCGGCCUAGGCCGGGCACGUACGACCAGCCUGUCCCGCCCCGCCCGGGGCUGCACGGAGCGCGGGGACCCCCUUCCCGCGCAGCUCGGCGGCAGGCCCCGCGCUCCCUAAGCCAGCUCCCAUUCCAGGGAGCCGAGAUGGGAACUGGGCUCCAUCCAGGCCCGCCCCACUGAGGACCCUCGCCCCGGACCUCCCCGCGGCGCCUCUCGCCCAGCCAGGCCUGGUCUCGCCACGCCCAGUCCGAUGGGGGGGUCCGCGUUCGCUCCUCGAGUGCGAUCUCCCCGCUGCGCCCCCGCCCAGGUCCCCUCAACGGAGCGGCCGCCGCCCGGGCCCGGCACACAAAAUGGCGGCGGCUCUUUGUUCAGCGCCGACGGGGCCUGACGCCUCCAUCCGCCCCAACGCGGAGCCCGGCCCCAGUUCAGCCAGGCCCUGGUCCCCAGGCUGAUCCCCCGUUGGAGACUGACUGGGAGAUAAAGAAAGUAACCCCUUCAACUUCGGAUCCUUAGCCCAAGAGAAUGUGCUACAGAAGAAGUGCAUCCGAAGAAGUGAGGUUUUUACUCACGAAAGCUUAUGCCCAAAUAAAUCUGUUAGUCUUUAAGGUG